rnacentral:rRNA from 1 species
GAGUGGCGGACGGGUGAGUAAUGCGUAGGAAUCUGUCUUUGAGUGGGGGACAACCCAGGGAAACUUGGGCUAAUACCGCAUAAGCCCUGAGGGGGAAAGCGGGGGAUCUUCGGACCUCGCGCUGGAAGAGGAGCCUACGUCUGAUUAGCUAGUUGGUAGGGUAAAGGCCUACCAAGGCGACGAUCGGUAGCUGGUCUGAGAGGACGACCAGCACACUGGGACUGAGACACGGCCCAGACUCCUACGGGAGGCAGCAGUGGGGAAUUUUUCGCAAUGGGGGCAACCCUGACGAAGCAAUGCCGCGUGAAUGAAGAAGGCCUUCGGGUUGUAAAGUUCUUUCGUGGAGGACGAAAAGGUGGGUGCUAAUAUCGCCUGCUGUUGACGUGAAUCCAAGAAGAAGCACCGGCUAACUCCGUGCCAGCCGCCGCGGUAAUACAAGGGC